rnacentral:rRNA from 1 species
UAGGGAAUCUUCGGCAAUGGACGGAAGUCUGACCGAGCAACGCCGCGUGAGUGAAGAAGGUUUUCGGAUCGUAAAGCUCUGUUGUUAGAGAAGAACGUUGGUAGGAGUGGAAAAUCUACCAAGUGACGGUAACUAACCAGAAAGGGACGGCUAACUACGUUCCAGCAGCCGCUGUAAUACGUAGGUCCCGAGCGUUGUCCGGAUUUAUUGGGCGUAAAGCGAGCGCAGGCGGUUCUUUAAGUCUGAAGUUAAAGGCAGUGGCUUAACCAUAGGACGCUUUGGAAACUGGAGGACUUGAGUGCAGAAGGGGAGAGUGGAAUUCCAUGUGUAGCGGUGAAAUGCGUAGAUAUAUGGAGGAACACCGGUGGCGAAAGCGGCUCUCUGGUCUGUAACUGACGCUGAGGCUCGAAAGCGGGGGGAGCAAACAGG